rnacentral:rRNA from 1 species
AUACGGAGGAUCCGAGCGUUAUCCGGAUUUAUUGGGUUUAAAGGGAGCGUAGGCGGACUAUUAAGUCAGCUGUGAAAGUUUGCGGCUCAACCGUAAAAUUGCAGUUGAUACUGGUCGUCUUGAGUGCAGUAGAGGUAGGCGGAAUUCGUGGUGUAGCGGUGAAAUGCUUAGAUAUCACGAAGAACUCCGAUUGCGAAGGCAGCUUACUGGACUGUAACUGACGCUGAUGCUCGAAAGUGUGGGUAUCAAACAGGAUUGGAUACCCUGGUAGUCCACACAGUAAACGAUGAAUACUCGCUGUUUGCGAUAUACAGUAAGCGGCCAAGCGAAAGCAUUAAGUAUUCCACCUGGGGAGUACGCCGGCAACGGUGAAACUCAAAUGAAUUGACGGGG